rnacentral:rRNA from 1 species
UACAGGGGGGGCAAGCGUUUGUUCGGAAUUACUGGGCGUAAAGGGCCAGUAGGCGGCCAACUAAGUCCGACGUGAAAUCCCCAGGCUUAACCUGGGAACUGCGUCGGAUACUGGAUGGCUUGAAUUCGGGAGAGGGAUGCAGAAUUCCAGGUGUAGCGGUGAAAUGCGUAGAUAUCUGGAGGAAUACCGGUGGCGAAGGCGGCAUCCUGGACCGACAUUGACGCUGAACGGCGAAAGCUAGGGGAGCAAACGGG